CGAACUGUGGCGGGAGAGCUCCCGCACGACGUGCGGGGCGCCGAAGGAGCAACCCUCCCCGGGAAUCUCUCAGGCCCCUGUACCGCCACGGCGAG
rnacentral:ncRNA from 2 species